rnacentral:rRNA from 1 species
ACGGGUGAGUAAUGCGUGACCGACCUGCCCCAUGCACCGGAAUAGCUCCUGGAAACGGGUGGUAAUGCCGGAUGUUCCACAUGAGCGCAUGCGAGUGUGGGAAAGGCUUUUUGCGGCAUGGGAUGGGGUCGCGUCCUAUCAGCUUGUUGGUGGGGUAACGGCCUACCAAGGCGUUGACGGGUAGCCGGCCUGAGAGGGCGACCGGCCACAUUGGGACUGAGAUACGGCCCAGACUCCUACGGGAGGCAGCAGUGGGGAAUAUUGCACAAUGGGCGCAAGCCUGAUGCAGCGACGCCGCGUGCGGGAUGGAGGCCUUCGGGUUGUAAACCGCUUUUGUUCAAGGGCAAGGCACGGUCUUUGGCCGUGUUGAGUGGAUUGUUCGAAUAAGCACCGGCUAACUACGUGCCAGCAGCCGCGGUAAUACGUAGGGUGCAAGCGUUAUCCGGAUUUAUUGGGCGUAAAGGGCUCGUAGGCGGUUCGUCGCGUCCGGUGUGAAAGUCCAUCGCUUAACGGUGGAUCCGCGCCGGGUACGGGCGGGCUUGAGUGCGGUAGGGGAGACUGGAAUUCCCGGUGUAACGGUGGAAUGUGUAGAUAUCGGGAAGAACACCAAUGGCGAAGGCAGGUCUCUGGGCCGUUACUGACGCUGAGGAGCGAAAGCGUGGGGAGCGAACAGGAUUAGAUACCCUGGUAGUCCACGCCGUAAACGGUGGAUGCUGGAUGUGGGGCCCUUUUUCCGGGUCCUGUGUCGGAGCUAACGCGUUAAGCAUCCCGCCUGGGGAGUACGGCCGCAAGGCUAAAACUCAAAGAAAUUGACGGGGGCCCGCACAAGCGGCGGAGCAUGCGGAUUAAUUCGAUGCAACGCGAAGAACCUUACCUGGGCUUGACAUGUGCCGGACGCCCGCGGAGACGCGGGUUCCCUUCGGGGCCGGUUCACAGGUGGUGCAUGGUCGUCGUCAGCUCGUGUCGUGAGAUGUUGGGUUAAGUCCCGCAACGAGCGCAACCCUCGCCGCGUGUUGCCAGCGGGUCAUGCCGGGAACUCACGUGGGACCGCCGGGGUUAACUCGGAGGAAGGUGGGGAUGACGUCAGAUCAUCAUGCCCCUUACGUCCAGGGCUUCACGCAUGCUACAAUGGCCGGUACAACGGGGUGCGACACGGUGACGUGGGGCGGAUCCCUGAAAACCGGUCUCAGUUCGGAUCGCAGUCUGCAACUCGACUGCGUGAAGGUGGAGUCGCUAGUAAUCG